rnacentral:sRNA from 1 species
AACAUACAUAGGAUGUGGUUUUUCAUGGGAUAAAUGGAGUAUGCAGCUGCAGCAGAGGUGCCGGUCGAUCCGGUCCCCCAUUGCUGGGCUUACGCAAGAAGACAGUGAGAUCGACCGAUCGAUCCAUCGGCGGCCUGCCGGCCGGCGACGUGCUGUGCAGAGCAGCUGGGUCCUCGCCGUCGCCGUCGCUGGCUAGUUGGCUGUGUAUAGCUAGUACCUCCUAGCUAUCUAGGUGCAGGCCAUCGCAUGCAUGAUCGGUCGAUCGAUGCAGAUGCAUGCAGUUAAUCAUCCAUGGUCCAUGGACCAGCAGCAGCAGCAGGGUGGCCACUGGCUAGUACGGCCAGAGGAUCGAUUUAUAUAUCAUCAUACCAUUGAUGGAGCUAGCCGUCCAGCUAUAGGCUGUGUUUAGUUCAGCGCAAAGUUUGAAUUUUGGUUGAAAUUGGAGAUGAUGUGACUAAAAAGUUGUGUGUGUAUGACAGAUUGAUGUGAUGGAAAAGGACUGAAGUUUGGAUCCAAACUUUGAAUCUAAACACAGCCAUAGAUGAAUACAAUCGAGGUUCACCUCUCC